rnacentral:rRNA from 1 species
AGCGAACCGGGAAGAGCUCAAAUUUGUAAUCUGGCGCCCCUCGGGCUCAGAGUUGUAAUCUACAGAGGCGUUUUCCGUGCCGGCCCGUGCCCAACUUUGCUUGGAACAGUGAGAUCAAAGAGGGUGAAAAUCCCGUACUUGACACGACCGCCGGUGCUAUGUGAUACGUCUUCUAAGAGUCGAGUUGUUUGGGAAUGCAGCUCAAAACGGGUGGUAAAUUCCAUCUAAGGCUAAAUAUUGGCGAGAGACCGAUAGCGAACAAGUACCGUGAGGGAAAGAUGAAAAGCACUUUGGAAAGAGAGUUAAACAGCACGUGAAAUUGUUGAAAGGGAAACGAUUGAAGUCAGUCGUGUCCGAGGGGUUCAGCCGGUCCUGCCGGUGCAUUCCUCUCGGACGGGUCAACAUCGGUUUUGUCCGGCGGACAAGGGCAUGGGGAAAGUGGCACCUUCGGGUGUGUUAUAGCCCCGUGUCGCAUACGUCGGACGAGACCGAGGAACGCAGCUCGCCUCACGGCCGGGGUUCGCCCACGUACGAGCUUAGG